rnacentral:ncRNA from 1 species
GGCCGGAUAAGGCGUUUACGCCGCAUCCGGCGAUUGUGUGCUGAUGCCUGAUGCGACGCUGGCGCGUCUUAUCAGGCC